rnacentral:rRNA from 1 species
UACGAGUGGCUCGAGCGUUAUCCGGAAUCAUUGGGCGUAAAGGGCGCGUAGGCGGUCAUAUUAGUCUUCUGUUAAAUUCUUCGGCUUAACCGGGAGGGUGCGGCGGAAACUGGAGUGCUUGAGGGUGGGAGAGGUAAGCGGAAUUCCUGGUGUAGCGGUGAAAUGCGUAGAUAUCAGGAGGAACACCUGUGGUGUAGACAGCUUACUGGACCGCUUCUGACGCUGAGACACGAAAGCGUGGGUAGCAAACAGG